UCCUGAUGGGGAGCCCAGAUUAAUCCCUGAGUGUCCCCAGUCAGGCAGAAUCUUCCCAGGAAUAUCCCAGAGUGUUUCAGGAGGAGUUUUAGGCAAAGAGCUGACUGCAGGUGGAGGUGGGACAAAGACAUCCUGAAGUGGGGAUGGAGAGGAGCUGUGUCACACCUGACCUGGGCAUCUGAGGGAGAGGAGGGUUCUGAAGACCCCAUCAACUUUAAAUCACUAAUUAACCUGUCCAAUAACUAAUUAACCUGUCCAAUUAUGGAAUAACUAAGGCAGAGAGGAGCUUUGCUCUCGGGGUGAGCGAUGCACUCAGCGAGGCCCUGAAGUCAGAAGCAGGAGCAGGUUUGUGCUGCAAUGAAAGAUACUUUUGUGCCCUUAAUUUCAAGCCAGCAACAUUUCCAUGUUCACCUGGGAAGAGUACAAAACUCCAGCCUGGU